UCAAAUGUUAGAAUGUUCUAAAAGCUCUUGAAGUAAUAGUGAAUACACACACACAAGCCAAGUUCUAAAACUAGAUGUCACAGGCACGGGUUCACUGGGAAUUUGUUUCUUGAAACAGGAUUCGAUAUACCAAAGUCUCCUGGAAUACAUGUAUAUCAUCUGGUUAUAAAGCAGCUGUCACUUAAGCACUAGCUUGUUUCACAGGCUGCAAUACAAGGGGAGAGGAGGAAAGGGAUGAACGCUCGGUGAUUUGAUUUUCCCACAGCAAGGAAUUCAACAGGAUAAGAAGAUCAGAAAUGCAUGCAGUGUUGCAGCAUUCCACCAAUAUAUGUGAUUUGAUCACGUGAACAUCAGCAGUUUCUCCAAGUAACCUAAUAUCGGUUAUCCUCUUUGGGGAUGUUCAAGAUGACACCAAGUGUGUGGAGGGAACCAGAUGAUAUAGUUGAUGGCAGAGUUGUCAGGACUCAGAGCUGCAGGAGGAAUAGGGUGAAGAGGAACCUUGUCAAAUUCCACAAAGACUAAUGUAAGGUUCUGCAAAAACAAAUGCAAAGAUCUGCAAAGACAAUGUGAAGUUCUAUCCAUGGAAAGCAGAACCUCUAGCAAUGUUACAGGCUGGGAAUGGACUGGUUGAAGGCAGCUCUGUGGAAAAGGUCUUGGGAGUUAUCAUAGGCAGUAAACUGAGCAUAAGUCAGCAACGCACACUGGCAAGAACCAACAAC